rnacentral:rRNA from 1 species
UACGAAGGGGGCUAGCGUUGCUCGGAAUCACUGGGCGUAAAGGGUGCGUAGGCGGGUCGUUUAAGUCAGGGGUGAAAUCCUGGAGCUCAACUCCAGAACUGCCUUUGAUACUGAGGAUCUUGAGUACGGGAGAGGUGAGUGGAACUGCGAGUGUAGAGGUGAAAUUCGUAGAUAUUCGCAAGAACACCAGUGGCGAAGGCGGCUCACUGGCCCGUAACUGACGCUGAGGCACGAAAGCGUGGGGAGCAAACAGG